UGGGGAAUAUUGGACAAUGGGGGAACCCUGAUCCAGCCAUGCCGCGUGUGUGAAGAAGGCCUUAUGGUUGUAAAGCACUUUAAGCGAGGAGGAGGCUCUCUUGGUUAAUACCCAAGAAGAGUGGACGUUACUCGCAGAAUAAGCACCGGCUAACUCUGUGCCAGCAGCCGCGGUAAUACAGAGGGUGCGAGCGUUAAUCGGAUUUACUGGGCGUAAAGCGUGCGUAGGCGGCUUUUUAAGUCGGAUGUGAAAUCCCCGAGCUUAACUUGGGAAUUGCAUUCGAUACUGGGAAGCUAGAGUAUGGGAGAGGAUGGUAGAAUUCCAGGUGUAGCGGUGAAAUGCGUAGAGAUCUGGAGGAAUACCGAUGGCGAAGGCAGCCAUCUGGCCUAAUACUGACGCUGAGGUACGAAAGCAUGGGGAGCAAACAGG
rnacentral:rRNA from 1 species